UACAGAGGGUGCAAGCGUUAAUCGGAGUUACUGGGCGUAAAGGGCGCGUAGGCGGUCAUGUAAGUGAGAUGUGAAAUCCCUGGGCUUAACCUAGGAACUGCAUCUUAUACUGCAUGACUGGAGUACUGUAGAGGGUAGUGGAAUUUCCGGUGUAGCGGUGAAAUGCGUAGAGAUCGGGAAGGAACACCAGUGGCGAAGGCGGCUACCUGGACAGAUACUGACGCUGGAGGCGCGGAAGAGCGUGGGGACGCAAACAGG
rnacentral:rRNA from 1 species